rnacentral:ncRNA from 1 species
UUAUGGUUGCAAAGCUGAAACUUAAAGAAAUUGACGGAAGGGCACCACAAGGCGUGGAGCUUGCGGCUUAAUUUGACUCAACACGGGAAAACUCACCCGGUCCGGACACUAUUAGGACUGACAGAUUGAAAGCUCUUUCUCGAUUUGGUGGUUGGUGGUGCAUGGCCGUUCUUAGUUGGUGGAGUGAUUUGUCUGGUUUAUUCCGAUAACGAGCGAGACUCUAGCCUGCUAAAUAGUCGACGAAUCUUCGGGUUCGUAUAACUUCUUAGAGGGAUAAGCGGUGUUUAGCCGCACGAGAUUGAGCGAUAACAGGUCUGUGAUGCCCUUAGAUGUCCGGGGCUGCACGCGUGCUACACUGGUGGAGUCAGCGGGUUUUUCCUAUGCCGAAAGGUAUCGGUAAACCGUUGAACUUCUUCCAUGUCCGGGAUAGGGUAUUGUAAUUAUUACCCUUAAACGAGGAAUGCCUAGUAAGUGUGAGUCAUCAGCUCACGUUGAUUACGUCCCUGCCCUUUGUACACACCGCCCGUCGCUAUCCGGGACUGAACUGAUUCGAGAAGAGUGGGGACUGUGGCUGCGAGGUUUUACCACUUCGCAGUUGCGGAAACCAUUUUUAUCGCAUUGGUUUGAACCGGGUAAAAGUCGUAACAAGGUAGCUGUAGGUGAACCUGCAGCUGGAUCAUCG